rnacentral:ncRNA from 2 species
UGAGUCACAGGAAAUGGCAUUUUCCUACUCAACCGCCUGCUUAAAGUCAAGGCUGAUAAUGCCUACAAUUUU